rnacentral:rRNA from 1 species
CCUUGACAUACUAAGAACUUUCCAGAGAUGGAUUGGUGCCUUCGGGAACUUAGAUACAGGUGCUGCAUGGCUGCCGUCAGCUCGUGUCGUGAGAUGUUGGGUUAAGUCCCGNAACGAGCGCAACCCUUUUCCUUAUUUGCCAGCGGGUCAUGCCGGGAACUUUAAGGAUACUGCCAGUGACAAACUGGAGGAAGGCGGGGACGACGUCAAGUCAUCAUGGCCCUUACGGCCAGGGCUACACACGUGCUACAAUGGUCGGUACAAAGGGUUGCUACCUCGCGAGAGGAUGCUAAUCUCAAAAAGCCGAUCGUAGUCCGGAUCGCAGUCUGCAACUCGACUGCGUGAAGUCGGAAUCGCUAGUAAUCGCGGAUCAGAAUGCCGCGGUGAAUACGUUCCCGGGCCUUGUACACACCGCCCGUCACACCAUGGGAGUUUGUUGCACCAGAAGUAGGUAGUCUAACCGCAAGGAGGACGCUUACCACGGUGUGGCCGAUGACUGGGGUGAAGUCGUAACAAGGUAAGCGUAGAUGA